UAUGGUCAAGUGAAGAAGCGCAUACGGUGGAUGCCUUGGCAGUCAGAGGCGAUGAAAGACGUGGUAGCCUGCGAAAAGCUUCGGGGAGUCGGCAAACAGACUUUGAUCCGGAGAUCUCUGAAUGGGGGAACCCAGCCAUCAUAAGAUGGUUAUCUUGUACUGAAUACAUAGGUGCAAGAGGCGAACCAGGGGAACUGAAACAUCUAAGUACCCUGAGGAAAAGAAAUCAACCGAGAUUCCCUUAGUAGUGGCGAGCGAACGGGGACUAGCCCUUAAGUGGCUUUGAGAUUAGCGGAACGCUCUGGAAAGUGCGGCCAUAGUGGGUGAUAGCCCUGUACGCGAAAAUCUCUUAGUCAUGAAAUCGAGUAGGACGGAGCACGAGAAACUUUGUCUGAAUAUGGGGGGACCAUCCUCCAAGGCUAAAUACUACUGACUGACCGAUAGUGAACUAGUACCGUGAGGGAAAGGCGAAAAGAACCCCGGAGAGGGGAGUGAAAUAGAUCCUGAAACCGUAUGCGUACAAGCAGUGGGAGCCCACUUUGUUGGGUGACUGCGUACCUUUUGUAUAAUGGGUCAGCGACUUAUUUUCAGUGGCGAGCUUAACCGAAUAGGGGAGGCGUAGCGAAAGCGAGUCUUAAUAGGGCGUCUAGUCGCUGGGAAUAGACCCGAAACCGGGCGAUCUAUCCAUGGGCAGGUUGAAGGUUGGGUAACACUAACUGGAGGACCGAACCGACUACCGUUGAAAAGUUAGCGGAUGACCUGUGGAUCGGAGUGAAAGGCUAAUCAAGCUCGGAGAUAGCUGGUUCUCCUCGAAAGCUAUUUAGGUAGCGCCUCAUGUAUCACUGUAGGGGGUAGAGCACUGUUUCGGCUAGGGGGUCAUCCCGACUUACCAAACCGAUGCAAACUCCGAAUACCUACAAGUGCCGAGCAUGGGAGACACACGGCGGGUGCUAACGUCCGUCGUGAAAAGGGAAACAACCCAGACCGUCAGCUAAGGUCCCAAAGUUAUGGUUAAGUGGGAAACGAUGUGGGAAGGCUUAGACAGCUAGGAGGUUGGCUUAGAAGCAGCCACCCUUUAAAGAAAGCGUAAUAGCUCACUAGUCGAGUCGGCCUGCGCGGAAGAUGUAACGGGGCUCAAACCAUACACCGAAGCUACGGGUAUCACGUAAGUGAUGCGGUAGAGGAGCGUUCUGUAAGCCUGUGAAGGUGAGUUGAGAAGCUUGCUGGAGGUAUCAGAAGUGCGAAUGCUGACAUGAGUAACGACAAUGGGUGUGAAAAACACCCACGCCGAAAGACCAAGGUUUCCUGCGCAACGUUAAUCGACGCAGGGUUAGUCGGUCCCUAAGGCGAGGCUGAAAAGCGUAGUCGAUGGAAAACAGGUUAAUAUUCCUGUACUUCUGGUUAUUGCGAUGGAGGGACGGAGAAGGCUAGGCCAGCUUGGCGUUGGUUGUCCAAGUUUAAGGUGGUAGGCUGGAAUCUUAGGUAAAUCCGGGAUUCCAAGGCCGAGAGCUGAUGACGAGUUACCCUUUGGGUGACGAAGUGGUUGAUGCCAUGCUUCCAAGAAAAGCUUCUAAGCUUCAGGUAACCAGGAACCGUACCCCAAACCGACACAGGUGGUUGGGUAGAGAAUACCAAGGCGCUUGAGAGAACUCGGGUGAAGGAACUAGGCAAAAUGGCACCGUAACUUCGGGAGAAGGUGCGCCGGUGAGGGUGAAGCACUUGCUGCGUAAGCCCACGCCGGUCGAAGAUACCAGGCCGCUGCGACUGUUUAUUAAAAACACAGCACUCUGCAAACACGAAAGUGGACGUAUAGGGUGUGACGCCUGCCCGGUGCCGGAAGGUUAAUUGAUGGGGUUAGCUAACGCGAAGCUCUUGAUCGAAGCCCCGGUAAACGGCGGCCGUAACUAUAACGGUCCUAAGGUAGCGAAAUUCCUUGUCGGGUAAGUUCCGACCUGCACGAAUGGCGUAACGAUGGCGGCGCUGUCUCCACCCGAGACUCAGUGAAAUUGAAAUCGCUGUGAAGAUGCAGUGUAUCCGCGGCUAGACGGAAAGACCCCGUGAACCUUUACUAUAGCUUUGCACUGGACUUUGAAUUUGCUUGUGUAGGAUAGGUGGGAGGCUUUGAAGCGUGGACGCCAGUUCGCGUGGAGCCAUCCUUGAAAUACCACCCUGGCAACUUUGAGGUUCUAACUCAGGUCCGUUAUCCGGAUCGAGGACAGUGUAUGGUGGGUAGUUUGACUGGGGCGGUCUCCUCCUAAAGAGUAACGGAGGAGUACGAAGGUGCGCUCAGACCGGUCGGAAAUCGGUCGUAGAGUAUAAAGGCAAAAGCGCGCUUGACUGCGAGACAGACACGUCGAGCAGGUACGAAAGUAGGUCUUAGUGAUCCGGUGGUUCUGUAUGGAAGGGCCAUCGCUCAACGGAUAAAAGGUACUCCGGGGAUAACAGGCUGAUACCGCCCAAGAGUUCAUAUCGACGGCGGUGUUUGGCACCUCGAUGUCGGCUCAUCACAUCCUGGGGCUGAAGCCGGUCCCAAGGGUAUGGCUGUUCGCCAUUUAAAGUGGUACGCGAGCUGGGUUUAGAACGUCGUGAGACAGUUCGGUCCCUAUCUGCCGUGGACGUUUGAGAUUUGAGAGGGGCUGCUCCUAGUACGAGAGGACCGGAGUGGACGAACCUCUGGUGUUCCGGUUGUCACGCCAGUGGCAUUGCCGGGUAGCUAUGUUCGGGAAAGAUAACCGCUGAAAGCAUCUAAGCGGGAAACUUGCCUCAAGAUGAGAUCUCACUGGGACCUUGAGUCCCCUGAAGGGCCGUCGAAGACUACGACGUUGAUAGGCAGGGUGUGUAAGCGCUGUGAGGCGUUGAGCUAACCUGUACUAAUUGCCCGUGAGGCUUGACCAUA
rnacentral:rRNA from 1 species